GGAAGGGAGGCGGGAGAAGAGAGGAGGCGGUGGCCGUGCUGCGCGCGCAGCCAGAGGCGGUGCUGAGGGGAGCCGAGGAGGAAUGGAGGGUUGGUGGGUGCUGUGUUUGUCCGUGUUUCAGCCUGGCUGGGGGCUCUGCUCUUCAGCGGGUGGGUUCUCGGCUUGCCUCUCGGCCCGAAGGAGCGGGUAGCGCUGAGGCGGCGGGAAGGCGGCCCGCGCAGUCAGUCAGUCAGUCAGUCAGUCACCGUGCCCGUCAGCCGCUCUGCUUCACAGGGAAGGACUGCAGCGAGUUUUGCAGGAAAUGCUAGUGAUGCGUUCAUGGCAACCAGCAGGUCAGGAGAGCUGGUAUACAGAGGAAUGGGAGCAGCUGAAAAUAGCUGAAAAUAAGAACAGAAAAGGUAAGUCAUAUCAUGUGGAACAAUAUCUGAAGAGACAGGCAUUGUUCAACAGUACUAGAAAAUAAGUUGCAGGCAUUUCACUUUCUGUGUUACCCAACCAUAAGACACGGUGAUGUAAUGCAAGAAAGCUUUUGGCAAGGUUUGCUCUGUGCUACUGAGCCUUACUACAAAGGCUCUAGUAGUAGUGCAAUAUGCAACACUUGAUUAUAGGGAUAAUAGGGAAUUUCUAAUCCUGGCAUCCAGAAUAAUGCCUAUGAGAUUAAAUAUCAGGACACCAAGAGUUUCUGGCUACACCAAGUGUAGGAAAAAUCUUGUAAGACAAAACAGUGUCUGGUUCAGUACUUAUGUGAAUAGUGUUAUUAAUUGCUCAUAGAAACAAAGGGGAAAUUCAGAAAUGGAAAUUACUGCCAUUGUAUGAAAUAAAUGAUACUGGAGUUUUAGCACAGAUCUUUAAGAAGCCCAAAGUAACCCUUUCCAGUUUUCCCCAAGCGUUCAGCAUUUGCUCAUGAAUUGUGAUCUUUCCUUGAAGUCACAAGUUUAGAUUUGGUAUCAAACUUUCUGAUACUCCUGACGCACAAAAUCUUAGUUUUCCUCCCCAAAGUGCUGUUUUCCUCCCCAAAGUGCUGAUAAUAUAAAACUUACCUAAGCUUGAAAAGAAUCUUAUAAUCUAUUUUUAACAAAACGCUCCCCUAGGCCUCAUUAGAUUUUUAACAGACAGUGGUUUUAGAAAGGAUAUGCAUGAGAGCAAUUUGUGAGACAGAAAAUACACAUAAGAAACCAGCAAGUAAAGUUAAAAAAGUUAUUUUUCUUAUAUGACAAAUCUGAAGCAGAAAGACAGAAAGAUUAAUUACUGUUUUGGUUCUGAAGGAUUCCAAACCUUCCUCUAAUUUUUAUCUAAUUCCCUUUCUUACAAACAUUCAGCAAUUUCACAUUGUCAGGUGUGGCUCAAAUAUUUGUGGUUGCUGAAGUAGAUGACAUUGCCACUCAAUAUCCAAGAUGCAGAUGGACUUGCUGAGCCAUCAGAAGAUGUUGUGUUUAACUCAGAAGUAUCUGUUGCCUUUUAAUGGAAUGAUACCUGUGAGCUGAAACUGAACGUAGAGCUCAGAUCUGCCCAUCAAGGAGCAAUGUGUACCAAUGAUGAGGAAACCCUCCACAGUCUAUGAAUGCAGGUCUGCUUUACCUAUCCAAAAAUCUCUGCUUACAUAUUAGUUGUAUAUAGUUACUGUGAUAAGCGCUGAAACAACAAAAAAAACUAACAUACCUCCUCAAAGAGUGAGCCAUGAAGGGAACUCUUACAACUGUUUUAAGAUUUUCCUACUUAUUUUCUGUCUUACUUUGCUUCAGUGAUAUCUGUGGUUAAGGUGUGAUACGAACUCAAGCUGAAGUGGUGCUGAAAUAACCAACAUUACGUGCUCAGCUCUCCAAGCUCUUGGCCACCAGGAGUUUCUAUGAACACAAUUUUCCCUGCAGAGAAUGGGGCUUUGGGUGUCCUGCAGCAAUAGUUGUAUUCCUUGACUUGUUUAACCUUGAUUUUUUUGAGUAUUGAUGAGUUUCAGAUUCAUGAGUUUCACUCUAACUUCAGGUAUCAAGCUGACCAACUCAAAGGAUUAUUAAUAAAACAGUGCCCUCGUGUCACCCAGAGCAUAUUAAAAUAUUCUGAAUUGGCAAGUUAUGCUUCUGUUGCAGGCAGCUUUCUUUUCCUGCUGGCACCUGUUUAAUAAAAUGGUUUGUUCCUCUCUGAUUGCCAAUUUGAAAGGGAACAGAUCCAACGUUUGACAAGACAACCACAGAAAAGAAACCAUAGGUCUUUGCUCAUUGUUGGGAUUAUUAAUUUUUAAUGAACGACACAGGUAUUCAUUCCACUGCAGGGAAAGACUGCUCCAUGGUUGCUUUGUGUUCCUCCAGCUCAGGUAAGAGCUGUUGCCUUCUACAGCAUCAGAUGCGAUGCCACUUCUCCCUAAGGAUCAUGCUGUGUUUUGAAGCACUGUAGUCCAUUUGGAUUAUAAGACACAACUCUAAACAUCGUCUGCCCAUCACAGGAUCUAUUCUUUGUAGCUUCAUAAUGCUCAGUGAAAACAUCAGACCCAUAGUUGUUGUAGCACCUAGCAGUUCCUGAACCUGUGGUUCCUGCACUUCCUUUCAAUGGAAUUUCACAAGCACUCUCUUUUAAGAUACAUGUUUUUUGUUGUUAUUGUUGUUGUUUGAAAUGUUCUUGUUUACAUUACCCAGUUUAAGUGCCCAUUUUUUAAAAUUGCAAUUUCAGACAAAUCCCUGUUAUCCUGGACACAACAGCCCUCUUGGUUAAAGAGCCAUUUGGUGACAGGUUAAAAGAUUCAGUGCAAGUUUGCUAUUUUCAUAGGAAAAGCAGCAAGCAAUAUACCAAAAUCUUCAAGAAAGGUCAAUUUGAUGUCAGAAGCACCAGAGCACAGGAUGUGGGGAUACUGAGUGCUCUGCUCCCAUAGGUGUGGUUAGUGGCAGGCAGCCAGGCUGGCAUCACCACACCCAUUGCAGCUGUUUGUUACCAGGCACUUCCAAAAAACAAUACUUAAGAUUAAUUUAGGAACAGACUUGAUGAAACAUGUUUAAUUUCAGGUAUGUCCUGUAGUCCACUUAGGUAUGUUGUUAACAUCUGUUCAUAGUUUAAUCCACUAAAUUACCUCUCUCUGUUUCGCUCCUGAACUUUGCUUUCGUUGGGGAUGCAAGAAGUUGCCUGAGAGUUGUUCUCAGCCUCCUCUGCAGUCUCGUGGUUACUCUGACGACUUCACUCUGCUGUGGCUCAGCAUGACAGCCUGUACCUGGAAAUGAUCUCCUCUGAAGCAGAAGCACAGAGGACUCUGCUCCUGAGGAGCAGUGCAUAUCCCAGCCUCACACAGCCGAGAGCUCCGACCGGGGACCGGCACGAUAGCAUCUCGCUGUACAGAUUCUCACAGCUGCAAAUGAGAUCGCUGCCAGGGCUCUUCGACCAGGGCAGCUUCUCAGCUCCCACUCUGCUCUGACCUCAGCACAGAAAGGAUUUGAAGCACUUGAAGAUACCCUUGGAUUCAGGAUCUACACAGAACCUCAGCAAAGUGAGUGUCUAAGUAGCAGCCAAUGUGCUGUUUUUGUUCCUUUACUAUCCUGUUGUUUCUACUAUCAGCUUUGCAGAUAUUACAGUUGCAAAUACCACCCUUGCCCUUUUAUCCCCUGAAGUUUGUACUUUUUAAAAGCUAAUUUUAAUUCUUAGACAUUAUUGUCUAUUUCAACUCUUCUAUCAUAGCCAAUUUAUCAACCAUAAAGGUGGAGCGAACAUUAUCUUUUUUCUUGAUGCUUCAUCUGCAACUGAGAGAAGCAAAAAGGGUGCUUUGGCUGACCCGCUGCUGCCCUCCCAGGCCAGCUGUCUUCUUCCCUAUUUCUCAAGGAAAAUCUUAACUCACACCAAUGGAUAAAGCAGUGCAGCAUCACUUUUUCUGCUACGGUAGCACAUGCUGUAGUAUAUAACACUUUCCUGCUUCUCUCUAGAUGGGAGUUCCUAGGAGCAAAUUCCUUCCUAAAGUUUGCACAGCAACCUGGGGCAGUCCCUGACUGAUUUGCAAACCUGGAGACAGAGCCCUGUUCUGCAUCCUGCCCUGAAGACUUCACCCAAUGAACCAACAGCCACACACUCAAAGCACGGGUAUCUAAUAACAAGUCUUUCACCACGGUUUCUGUUAUAUUUAUUCAUUUUUUUUAAUUUAAGUCUAUUUUCUAUUCUAGUUUAUACUGCUUUUAGCCCAAUUUCUACUUAAAAUAUCGCAUACAUGAUGCAGAAGGAGUCCUUGCAGCAUGUGCCAGCACAGCUACAGCCCUUCAGAGCAGCACAGAGCAAUCCCUCUGUUCGUGGAGUUCAGGGCGAUGUCUGUUAAUCUCCUCACAGGUUUAUGAGGUUCCUGGUAACCCAUAUGGGUUUGUGAGCCCACACCUGGCUGGUAAGGACCAAUAACUUUCAUAGCUUAAGAAGCAAAUUAACAGAAGGAUCGCAUAACGUUAGCUGAAAUCCCAAGUGCUCCAUUUUCCUAAUUUCACAGAACCAUGGAAUCAUUAAGGCUGGAAAAGCCCUCUGAGAUCCCCCAGCCCAACCCCCCUAUGCCCACUGCCCACAUCCCUCAGUGCCACAUCCCCGUGGCUCUGGGACGCCCCCAAGUACAGUGACCCCCCACUCCCUGGGCAGCUGUGCCAAUAUCCACUCUGAAUUUGUAUUGAUGUCAUUCAUUAUAGCAUAAAUUAUUGAAUAUGUGUAAAAGGAACAGCGAGUGUGAGACAAGCGGGUGUUGUCAGCAACUGAAACUAAGAACAGCUGUCCCAGGGUGGGAUCAACACUAACAGUGUAAGCAAGAUACUGAAAAAGAUUUGUUUCUACAUAUUUUUAACUAUCGUUCAUUAUGGUUUUUUUCCACACCAGGUUUCCUGCUUGAAUCCCCUCACACACCUAGCGCUUGCCACCUGCACUGGAGUUCUGCUCUCUUCUGCAGUAACUGCCUUCCUCUGGGCUGGAACCCGAAAGAAGACCUUGUGAAACCAGUCACCAUUUCUGGGGGUAAAUGUUCUCUUUUUUUCCCUCAGAAGCAGAGAGGAACUUCCAGGACUGGUCACAGGACUGUGAGACAGGUCUGGGAUUACCUCUCUGAGCGCUGGGAGCAAGCCGUGCAUUCUGCAAACCCAAUCUGCAGCCAGCACCAAUCACGUGUUGGAGCCCCACUAACAGCCAACGCGAUGCUUCACCAUGUCAGGUAAUUCAGCUCAUCAACCUAUGUGCUUGGGGGUCAGGGUUACUGGGGAUAGAAACUCUUCAGUUUAGCAGGUGGCUAUGAAACCUUAACUAC